rnacentral:lncRNA from 1 species
UUCCAAACCUUUCCUUCUACGUUGAUGAGGUUGACCUAAGAGAUAAUAAUGAGAGAGAGAAGCAUUAGUCUUUUCAGAUGAAGUGAAUAUGAUGAGAAGAAGAAGACGAGGAUGAUGAAGAUGAAGCAGAUAUGUGAAGUACAUUGAAACUGCUGCAAGUUGUUGAAUUAUGACCUAUCUUCCCACAAUGUGAACACUUUCUCCUACACAAAAUAUUAUGAGUUUACUCGUUUUGAGGGUGUGGAAACAAGAGGAAAUAUUAAGUGCUUUAUAAUAUGUUUUCUAGUACAAUUUGGGUCUUAUGAAAAUAGGAGCAUACACCAAGUGAAG